AAAGUUCGAAUGGGGAGAUUCAUCGGCAGCGAAGCUGGCUCCCGUUGGUGCGUGAUACCCUGACUUUGGGGCCUUCGUGGUUCCAAUGCGAGGGCACACAAUCUUCGGUGAACGGUUCCGGCUAUACGUAGUCGUGCACUUCUCCCUUAGUAGAACGUCGCGACCCGUUGCGUGUCGGUCUACGGCCCGAGUUGUUUGACUGGCGCGUCGUCUCGUGCGCACGCGUCAGACGCUCGAUCGCCCGGCCGGCUGCGUGACGGUACUCUGACGGUAUCGGGCAGCAACCAAAAUCCAUUUUCGAAUGUACGUGCGUCAGGCCCGCCGCAAGCUCGGUCAGUUUACCCGGAGGUGUACGGACCUGGUGCCGUCCCCGGGCCUGGCCAGCUGUUUGCAGGCGGUGUCCUUGGACUGGCCAAGCUUCGAAUUACCGGUCGGCGACGCUACUGCUUUGGGUACUCUCAGGACCCGUCUUGAAACACGGACCAAGGAGUCUAACAUGUGCGCGAGUCAUUGGGAUAUAUAAACCUAAAGGCGCAAUGAAAGUGAAGGUCGGCCUUUGCGUCGACCGAGGGAGGAUGGGCCGUGUUACGAUUUACGGCCUCGCACUCCCGGGGCGUCUCGUUCUCAUUGCGAGAAGA
rnacentral:rRNA from 1 species